GAUGAACGCUGACAGAAUGCUUAACACAUGCAAGUCUACUUGAACUUCGGUUUGGGUGGCGGACGGGUGAGUAACGCGUAAAGAACUUGCCUCACAGUUAGGGACAACAUUUGGAAACGAAUGCUAAUACCUGAUAUUAUGAUUUUAGGGCAUCCUAGGAUUAUGAAAGCUAUAUGUGCUGUGAGAGAGCUUUGCGUCCCAUUAGCUAGUUGGAGAGGUAACGGCUCACCAAGGCGAUGAUGGGUAGCCGGCCUGAGAGGGUGAACGGCCACAAGGGGACUGAGACACGGCCCUUACUCCUACGGGAGGCAGCAGUGGGGAAUAUUGGACAAGGGACCAAAAGUCUGAUCCAGCAAUUCUGUGUGCACGAUGACGUUUUUCGGAAUGUAAGGUGCUUUCAGUUGGGAAGAAAAAAAUGACGGUACCAACAGAAGAAGUGACGGCUAAAUACGUG
rnacentral:rRNA from 1 species